CCGCGGACGGAAGGAGAUUGUUCACACCGGGUUGGGGAACCCGCGGAUGCCCGAACAAAGUGCCUUGGACCGGUUCGGAUCUUGCGCAGUGCCCUGCGUGUGUGGUUGAAACAAAAGAGAAUUCCAAACAGGUGCUGAAAUGGUGUAAGUCAGAGAGAGACCUGGUAGCACUGAUGUUCUGUUUAUUGGCUGCUCCAGUGAUCCUGGUUCAAUCCUGGUCUACAGUGCACAUUCUCCUUGGAACCACGUGGGAUUCCCCUAGGUACUCCAGUUUCUUCAUCAUCCCGAAGACCAAGCAAGAGAUCAAGUGUACCUGGUAACAGUGUCAUUGCAGAGAACAACAGCCGGCUGCAUCAGACCUGACCACAGCUGAUGGAAGCAGACCCACAGAAGACGCCAAGCCAGAGGUCAUCAACAGAGCAUGACAGUGAGCUGUUGUAGUAUAACAGUACUCUGUAAUGAAGGCUGGUAGCUGAAAGCAGAUUACUAGUUGUACAGCACAGAAUAGGGAAAUAUUGGGGAAAAUAGAUGGGAAGGGAUCCGAGCUACAGCAGAGAUAUCGGAUCCACAACAUCAAUGGCAUGGCCGAUUGAGAAAGGGACAAAAUUGCACACGGCAUCUAAAGGCAGUCACUCCCAGCCCAUGAGCUGGGCCGGGCCAGGGAUCAACUGGGUAGCCUGGAAGGGGGUGCCACUGGAGUGAAGUCCUUGCGGUCAUUCAAAUAGAGACAGCCCCAACCUCUCCUGUACAUCAAUGAGAGGGCUUUUGAGCCUGAUACAUUUACCUUGCCAGUGCCCUUGGAAAGAGAGUAAUCACUGGUAGCCACCACAGAUUUUAGCCAUGAAAAAGUGAAGGGGUGAAGAUAAAGAAAGUGAUUAUUUUUGUCCAGGAGGGCUUGUUAGGCCAUAUUCUGGACUUAGGGUACAUAGCAAAGUAUUAACUUCAACAACCAAUCUUUAGACCUGUAGAUUAAAUUUUAAAUGCAGCCUAGACAAUAGGUUCCUAGAGCUGUGAACAACAGUUAAUUGAAAAACCAGACAAUGCUGAUUAACAUUCAUCUUGGAUGUGUGGAGUGUGGGUGCAAAGACUGAGGUGUAAAGGUUGUGUGUAAUUCAAAGGAAGCAUUGCAGAUACAUUGUAAAUGUAGAAUUCUCCUUUGAUCUUCAGCAUUUAAAAUGUUGCGUAAUGCUGUGUUGAACAAGCCUCUUCCCCGAAAGUAUCUCAAUGCGACGCCUGCUGCUUGUUUUUGUUGAAUAAAACACUGACUUUAGUCACACUGUGUACCCACUCUGUGCUUAUGUGUGUCUGUGUCUGUGACAGGUACUGUGUACCCACUCCUUGUGUGUGUGAUGUACUGUGUACACACUAUGUGUGGUGUACUAAGUACCCAUUCCAUGUGUGUACUGUAUUGUGCAUCCACUAAAUGUGUACAUACAUUGUAUUGUAUACCCAUCCCUCUGUGUCCAUGUUGUGAACA